UACGGAGGGAGCUAGCGUUGUUCGGAUAUACUGGGCGUAAAGCGCACGUAGGCGGCGCCGUAAGUCAGGGGUGAAAUCCCGGAGCUCAACUCCGGAACUGCCCUUGAAACUGCAGUGCUAGAAUUCUGGAGAGGCGAGUGGAAUUCCGAGUGUAGAGGUGAAAUUCGUAGAUAUUCGGAAGAACACCAGUGGCGAAGGCGACCCGCUGGACAGACAUUGACGCUGAGGUGCGAAAGCGUGGGGAGCAAACAGG
rnacentral:rRNA from 1 species